rnacentral:lncRNA from 7 species
GGUGCUAAAUGCCCCGAUGGCUCCUGCUGACAGCGGUGCUGCUGGUAGAUUACCGCUGCCCGUCCAUUCUCCAGGCACUGCACACCCGGGGCCAUUGGAAACAGCAAGGCUGUGAGACCACCAGGUCCUUCUGCUGCUGUCAUCAUUGCACCUCUCCUGCUCACACUGCACCUGGUUUCCUUAAGCUCACUGAAGAAAAGCCACCAACUGCUCCCACUGUGCUUCCAGCUUCACGUGGCUGCUGGGACGCCUUCUGCCAGGGGUGCGUCACACCUCCCUGUUGUCUUAUCCUUCUGGCACCUGGACUUUGGUUUCAGGGCUGGGCUGAAGCCUGGGAGCUGCUGCACCCAUCAGCUGUCAUGUGCAGCAAGAAGCAUCGCCUCCUGAGAUCUGCUUUGGAGAAUUCACCAUUGGAGAUGAUAAGUCUCUGGUGCUCGGAGUGCUGGCAGCCACUGAGCCCCCUUCCCACCCCUGGAAGGACAGACAGACAGACAGGCAGACAGCUGUGCAUGUCAAUGGGCAGACCUGCAGCUGCACGGCUCCUCCUGCAGCCUCAGCACGGGUUGGUGGGGUGCUGGGAGGUACUGCCCCCAGUAAGCGGGAUGGGAAGAGGAGGUGACACAUCACCGUGCUGUGACUCAGGAGAAAGGCCGAGCCCUGAGGGCCUGGUGAGUGCAGUGGGUGUUUGCUGCCCACAGCGUGGCUCAAUUACAGGAGUGACAAGCUGCAGCACAGCUCACAGCCCUGCUAGACAGUUCUGUCAGCAGCCCGAGCAGUGCUGGGUCUCUGCCAGCCAGCGACUUGCAGCACAAGAAACAAAGCAAAACUUGACUUUGAACUACGCUGCCCUAUAUCCAGAAUGGCUGCACUGCUUGCACGCUGGAUAA